UACGUAGGGUGCGAGCGUUGUCCGGAAUUAUUGGGCGUAAAGAGCUUGUAGGUGGUCCUUCACGUCUGCUGUGAAAUCUCAGGGCUCAACCCUGAGCUUGCAGUGGAUACGGGAGGACUUGAGUUCGGCUGGGGAGACUGGAACUCCUGGUGUAGCGGUGGAAUGCGCAGAUAUCAGGAAGAACACCGGUGGCGAAGGCGGGUCUCUGAACCGAUACUGACACUGAGAAGCGAAAGCGUGGGGAGCAAACAGGCUUAGAUACCCUGGUAGUCCACGCCGUAAACGUUGGGCGCUAGGUGUGGGGGACUUUCCACGUUCUCCGUGCCGCAGCUAACGCAUUAAGCGCCCCGCCUGGGGAGUACGGCCGCAAGGCUAAAACUCAAAGGAAUUGACGGGGGCCCGCACAAGCGGCGGAGCAUGCUGAUUAAUUCGAUGCAACGCGAAGAACCUUACCUGGGCUUGACAUACACGGAAAACUGGCAGAGAUGUCAGGUCCGCAAGGGCCGUGUACAGGUGGUGCAUGGUUGUCGUCAGCUCGUGUCGUGAGAUGUUGGGUUAAGUCCCGCAACGAGCGCAACCCUCGUCCUAUGUUGCCAGCGGGUAAAGCCGGGAACUCAUGGGAGACUGCCGGGGUCAACUCGGAGGAAGGUGGGGAUGACGUCAAAUCAUCAUGCCCCUUAUGUCCAGGGCUUCAAGCAUGCUACAAUGGCCGGUACAAAGGGCUGCGAUACCGCAAGGUGGAGCGAAUCCUCUAAAGCCGGUCUCAGUUCGGAUCGGGGUCUGCAACUCGACCCCGUGAAGUCGGAGUCGCUAGUAAUCGCAGAUCAGCAAUGCUGCGGUGAAUACGUUCUCGGGCCUUGUACACACCGCCCGUCAAGUCACGAAAGUCGGUAACACCCGAAGCCGGUGGCCUAACCGCAAGGAGGGAGCCGUCGAAGGUGGGACUGGUGAUUGGGACU
rnacentral:rRNA from 1 species